CUAGUUGGUAAGGUAACGGCUUACCAAGGCGACGAUCAGUAGCCGACCUGAGAGGGGGAUCGGCCACAUUGGAACUGAGACACGGUCCAAACUCCGACGGGAGGCAGCAGUGGGGAAUAUUGCACAAGGGGCGAAAGCCUGAUGCAGCAACGCCGCGUGAGUGAUGAAGGCCUUCGGGUCGUAAAACUCUGUCCUCAAGGAAGAUAAUGACGGUACUUGAGGA
rnacentral:rRNA from 1 species